rnacentral:rRNA from 1 species
UACGUAGGAGGCGAGCGUUGUCCGGAUUUACUGGGCGUAAAGCGCACGUAGGCGGCAUUGCAAGUCGGAUGUGAAAUCUUAUGGCUUAACCAUAAAAGUGCAUCCGAAACUGCAGUGCUUGAGUACUUAAGAGGAUCGCGGAAUUCCCGGUGUAGAGGUGAAAUUCGUAGAUAUCGGGAGGAACACCAGUGGCGAAGGCGGCGAUCUGGGAAGAUACUGACGCUGAGGUGCGAAAGCGUGGGGAGCAAACAGG